AGCUGAGUCCACACAGUCAUUCCAACAUGGCGAGUAAAAAGGCCUCCAGAAAGGGACAGAGGGGAGCUCAGAAGUCCUGCUCCAACGUCUUCUCCAUGUUUGAGCAGUCACAAAUACAAGAGUUCAAAGAGGCGUUUGGCUGCAUCGAUCAGGACAGAGACGGAGUCAUCAAAAAGCAGGACCUGAAGGAGACCUACGCUCAGCUGGG